CAGCCGCCGCGGUAAUACGGAGGGCGCGAGCGUUGUCCGGAUUCACUGGGCGUAAAGCGUGCGCAGGCGGCUUUGCAAGACAGAUGUGAAAUCCCCGGGCUCAACCUGGGAACUGCAUUUGUGACUGCAAGGCUAGAGUACGGUAGAGGGGGAUGGAAUUCCGCGUGUAGCAGUGAAAUGCGUAGAUAUGCGGAGGAACACCAAUGGCGAAGGCAAUCCCCUGGACCUGUACUGACGCUCAUGCACGAAAGCGUGGGGAGCAAACAGGAUUAGAUACCCUGGUAGUCCACGCCCUAAACGAUGUCAACUGGUUGUUGGACGGCUUGCUGUUCAGUAACGAAGCUAACGCGUGAAGUUGACCGCCUGGGGAGUACGGCCGCAAGGUUGAAACUUAAAGGAAUUGGCGGG
rnacentral:rRNA from 1 species